CUCAGACCCAAGACUUGGGUUAGUAGACCAAGGGGAAGCAAAAUGUUGAUCCAGCAUCACCAGGCAGGACAAGACACCAAGGAACUCCCUUCUCCCUUCCUAAGACUGCAUUUUGGAUUGUCAAAGGAUGAGCCAAGAUAUGACCCAAACCUGGCAACUCCUGUCCUUGGCUCAUACAGUCUGAGACAGUUUCUCAUUAGGUUGCCCAGGCUGACUUCAAAACCCUGGGUUCAGCAGUCCUCCUGAGUAGUAGCUGGGUACUACAGGCAUGCUACCCCUGAACUUAGCAAGUACUGUCAAAAGCCCUUGCUGGAUCUGCAUCCCUGGGUCCUCAGCUUCCUCAUCAAGAAUAGAAGCCUUCAACAUUAAUAAAGCACACCAUAAUGUACUAAUGUGACAGCAUAAAAUAAUGGUUGUUAUA